rnacentral:rRNA from 1 species
UGGGGAAUAUUGCACAAUGGGCGCAAGCCUGAUGCAGCCAUGCCGCGUGUGUGAAGAAGGCCUUCGGGUUGUAAAGCACUUUCAGCGAGGAGGAAGGUGGUGAACUUAAUACGUUCAUCAAUUGACGUUACUCGCAGAAGAAGCACCGGCUAACUCCGUGCCAGCAGCCGCGGUAAUACGGAGGGUGCAAGCGUUAAUCGGAAUUACUGGGCGUAAAGCGCACGCAGGCGGUUUGUUAAGUCAGAUGUGAAAUCCCCGGGCUCAACCUGGGAACUGCAUUUGAAACUGGCAAGCUAGAGUCUCGUAGAGGGGGGCUAGAAUUCCAGGUGUAGCGGUGAAAUGCGUAGAGAUCUGGAGGAAUACCGGUGGCGAAGGCGGCCCCCCUGGACGAAGACUGACGCUCAGGUGCGAAAA